GCCUAGCCUAGUGGACAUGGCAUCUGCCCGGUAAGCGGAACACUGUGGGUUCGAUUCCCAUCCCUGGACA
rnacentral:tRNA from 1 species